rnacentral:lncRNA from 1 species
AUUUUGCAUUUACAAAUGCGCGUAAAAAAAUAUGUUAAUGCAUAAAAAAAUAUGUUAAUGCAUAAAAAANNNNNNNNNNAUAUGUUAAUGCAUAAAAAAAUAUGUUAAUGCAUAAAAAAAUAUGUUUGUGCGUAAAAAAAUAUGUUCGUGCAGUUUUUUAGGCUAAGUUUUUAUGGUGUGGAUACAGUGGAAUCAAAGCAAAACGAAGAUGAUGAAGAGCAAAAAAACGAACGAAUAAACAAAAAGACAGAUAUAAAUACAAAAAAUAAAAAAAAAAAAAAAAGACAAAAAUGGUGGUAGUAGUGAUGGUGGUAGUAGUAGUAGUAGUAGUAGUGAUAAAGUAACAGACCAUUACGCACAUAACAACAAAGAGAGCUAUAAAAAUAAUAAAACACUAUCUGUAAAUGUUCAAAAUAUAAAAACGAAAAGAUUUGAUAAAAAUAAUUUUAAAUUUAUUAGAAAAUCAAAAAGUUUAACAAAAAAUAACAUUAAUUUAAUUGAACAAAUAAAUAAAACACAAACUAUAAAAUCAAAUACUGUUAAUUUUAAAAAAGAGUCAUUUUCAUUAUCAGAUGAAUUUUAUAAUUCUAACAAGUUUGAAAAAGUAGCU